UUUCGGUAUACUCCAUGAAAAGGGAAUUGGGUGUGACUCCCAAACAGUCCCGCUGCUGUGAACUCAUAUUAAAGGAUUUACCAAUCACUUGUGCCACUGCCAAUAUUCGUAUGGCGGGAAGGCGGCAAAUCCGGAGUAAGUCAGAAGACCUGCAAAACC
rnacentral:ncRNA from 1 species